CAAUUGGCCCUAUUUAGGGCCAUUUACACUGUAAACCUAUAAAUCG
rfam:Vibrio anguillarum 775 chromosome II, complete sequence.